ACUUCCGUAGCUCAGCGGAAUAGAGCGUCACGCUACGAAAGUGAGGGUCGCAAGUUGGCUUCGCCCAUCUCCUUGUGCCUCAGCUUGGCUCUGCGCUCGGCACUGCGUCGAGUCGACUCCUGCCGGAAGUA
rnacentral:tRNA from 1 species